rnacentral:rRNA from 1 species
GGGGAAUAUUGCACAAUGGGGGAAACCCUGAUGCAGCGACGCCGCGUGGAGGAAGAAGGUCUUCGGAUUGUAAACUCCUGUUGUUGGGGAAGAUAAUGACGGUACCCAACAAGGAAGUGACGGCUAACUACGUGCCAGCAGCCGCGGUAAAACGUAGGUCACAAGCGUUGUCCGGAAUUACUGGGUGUAAAGGGAGCGCAGGCGGGAAGACAAGUUGGAAGUGAAAUCUAUGGGCUCAACCCAUAAACUGCUUUCAAAACUGUUUUUCUUGAGUAGUGCAGAGGUAGGCGGAAUUCCCGGUGUAGCGGUGGAAUGCGUAGAUAUCGGGAGGAACACCAGUGGCGAAGGCGGCCUACUGGGCACCAACUGACGCUGAGGCUCGAAAGUGUGGGUAGCAAACAGGAUUAGAUACCCUGGUAGUCCAUGCCGUAAACGAUGAUUACUAGGUGUUGGGGGAUUGACCCCCUCAGUGCCGCAGUUAACACAAUAAGUAAUCCACCUGGGGAGUACGACCGCAAGGUUGAAACUCAAAGGAAUUGACGGGGGCCCGCACAAGCAGUGGAGUAUGUGGUUUAAUUCGAAGCAACGCGAAGAACCUUACCAGGUCUUGACAUCCGAUGCAUAGCACAGAGAUGUGUGAAAUCCUUCGGGACAUCGAGACAGGUGGUGCAUGGUUGUCGUCAGCUCGUGUCGUGAGAUGUUGGGUUAAGUCCCGCAACGAGCGCAACCCUUAUUGCCAGUUACUACGUUAAGAGGACUCUGGCGAGACUGCCGUUGACAAAACGGAGGAAGGUGGGGAUGACGUCAAAUCAUCAUGCCCUUUAUGACCUGGGCUACACACGUACUACAAUGGCGUUAAACAAAGAGAAGCAAGACCGCGAGGUGGAGCAAAACUCAAAAACAACGUCUCAGUUCAGAUUGCAGGCUGCAACUCGCCUGCAUGAAGUCGGAAUUGCUAGUAAUCGCGGAUCAGCAUGCCGCGGUGAAUACGUUCCCG